UACGAAGGGGGCUAGCGUUGCUCGGAAUCACUGGGCGUAAAGGGUGCGUAGGCGGGUCUUUAAGUCAGGGGUGAAAUCCUGGAGCUCAACUCCAGAACUGCCUUUGAUACUGAGGAUCUUGAGUAUGGGAGAGGUGAGUGGAACUGCGAGUGUAGAGGUGAAAUUCGUAGAUAUUCGCAAGAACACCAGUGGCGAAGGCGGCUCACUGGCCCAUAACUGACGCUGAGGCACGAAAGCGUGGGGAGCAAACAGGG
rnacentral:rRNA from 1 species